rnacentral:tRNA from 1 species
GUCACGAUGGCCGAGUGGUCUAAGGCGCCAGACUCAAGUUCUGGUCUCCAUAUGGAGGCGUGGGUUCAAAUCCCACUUCUGACA